UCGAGGCCUGGAGUUCCCUACCCCUGGCUUAAGGGUUAAAUGACCUUUCUUCCCCUUUCUGAUGAUCAGCUUAAAGUUCAGUGGCUUAAAUGCUGAGUUAUUGCCAUGUGACUGGGUGACCAAGUGAUUUUGGUGCCUAAAGUUACAAAGAUGAUAAUGUUUAGGUAACAUUGACCAAAUAUCACCAAAAGCAGCAGAGAUGAUGGAGACCUCCCAGGAUGGAAAAGAAAGAAGCUUCAAAUUCAGGUCUUGCAUUGAUGCCGACUUUGAACACACCAGGACAUUUGAUCUGAAGUCACAGCCGCAACCUCUGACUUCCUCACAGCGCUUCUGUUUCACACAUGAAGGGAAAUGUCAAAUGUUUGCAUUUUCAGAGGGAGCUGGGUGUUAUUUUUCUUGGCAGGCCUGAGCUCAGCAGCUGGAGACUUGCAGUCAGGUCAGAGACGCUGACAAGGUUGCUACAACUGCCCCUGAGGCGAGACGUAAACUAAAACAGCUUUUUUUUUCCUUCUUCUUCUUAAAUGGGGUAGCAAAGGAGAAAACGGGAGCCUAUCAGGAAAGUCUUUGGUUUUGUAAAUUCAUAAGUAUCAAUUAUAAAUUGAGAGGUGGGUCCACAACUAUAAGAAUAUGGCUGAUACACCGAAGCACACAAUUCAGCGUCAUCUUUGCUUACCUUUAUUCUAAACACAGCUCAUGCCUCUGCUUUCAGCUACAUUAGUGAUCAGAGGGGGUUAGUUUAGUUAAUUGCUUUUUUUUUUUUUUUUUUUUACUGGAAAAGGCCCAUUGAGAUCAGUCUUUUAUUUUCUUUUUUUAAUAAAAGAGACCCAGCAAAAGUUGCACUCUGUCUUCUCUUUUGUUUUGAACAUUCUUUAACUUCAAAUUUUAUAAACUCUGUUUAAAGAAUUCAGAGGUCCAGAGGCCCUUACAUUCAUUAAACAGUGCAACCUUGGGUUAUUUGGGUAUGGACAAGUGCCAUGCAUGUUAGUUUUCUUUCUGUACAUGUUAAAAUAAAUGGCCUGCUUACAUUUUUUUAAAAAUGAUAUAAGCUGAAAGUAUUCCUUUUCUUUGUAAUUUCACUGUCUGAAAUCAAAUGUAUGCAUUGACUCAUACUCCCUUAAUGAAGCUUUAAAACGUGCAAAAACUGCAGGUUGUUGAGUUAAAGUAACAAAGUUGGUGACUGCUCUCCUAAAAAUUAUACGAAAUGAAUCUGAUGGCAGAGGGAUCUCUUCUGGAAGAAAUAAACAUGGUGUCCGAUUAGUAUUAGAUGUGAUUAUAGGACUGAUUCUGCCAACAGUUAAACACUUUUCCGUCGUUAACCUGUCUUGGGGUGCACUACAAAAGUAAAAGCAACAUGCUGUAUUCUGUAUGUAUUUCAGACUGUACAGUUGGUCAAGCAGUUGAUAAUCUAACCAUUCGAGGCCCUCUGUACAAACACACUUGUAAGUACACAGUGUUUGGACAACCCAUCUGUCUCUUCUUCAUUGGUGGAGUCCUCUCCAAGUAAACCCUUUGACUCAGUUGCUAGGAAACCUCUGCUCUGCCUCUGCCCUCCUGACUGCGAGCAGCCGGCUCGCUCCUCCUCGUGAUGUAAGGACGCUGUAACAGAAACAAACACAUGUCAUACUAAGUAAAAGCUGAGCUGUUACUCAGUGCGUUGAGAUGGGUUUGAUGCUUAUAUUGGUCAUUUUGCUGUUGUCUGUGUAACAUGAGAGUGGGUACCUUCUUAUCACCCUCACCAGGCACUUGUCGCUCCGCUUUAGUCAGACACACAGGCUGUAAUUUAACAUGGUCUAAACACUGAGUCUAUUGACCCUGAUUGUGUAGUGUGGUGUCAAACAAGUACCGCCUUACAGCAAUAAUCCAUUCACUCUGAUAAAUGUUCACAACAAGACCAGCAGUGCGAGUUUCUUCAAGUAGUGUAAACAUCUGCUACUAUUGCAGCCAGUUAGUUAUUUAAAAAAGGCUCUUAAAGGCUUUAAUAAUUAG